AAUCAAUUUUAAAAACUAUUAAAAGAAAAAGAAACACAACUCUAAAGAAAUACGAUUUAGUUCUUAUGUGGCUUAUAAUUGUCUGAGCCAAUACCAAAUUAUUUUGAGCAGGACAAUGGCAGAAUCUUGAGAAUAAAUGUACAUAGCCUCACAAGCUGACUUGCAAGGACUAUCUCCAUUUAGAGCUAUCCUUUCUGUUUAUUUUUAAAAUCAGUAUAUUUAUAAUGACACCUCAAAUUUAAAGUAAAUAAAAAUAAAUUUUGUAAUUGACUUUCCCCCUUCAAAAUAAGUUAAAAUUCAUGUCUGGAACCAUAAUUAGUAUUUUUGCAUAAUAGCUUAAAAAGAAAUUGUUUUAAAAUUAACUUGCCAAAAAUAUCAGCUCUUGAAACAUAUUUUUUCAAGUGUCCUGAAACUCUCUCUCAGCCUUUAUGACCCAGAAGCAUUACACCGGUGUGAGGCCCCACAGCUGUGCCCUCUCCGGGCUCAGUAGCACCUUAACAGUGACGGAGGCGCAGUGUCCAGGGGUCGAAGUGGGGUCUGGGUGGUGGGAAACGGGCUACCGAGAAGAAAAGCAGGGCCUCCCGGCCUCCCCAGCCUCUUCCCACUGGGGGCAAGGCUUCGAUCUAAGGAACCUAAAGCUUGCAGACGUUUGCGAUUUCCCUCCAAAAUUUACUUUCCAUGUUUCAGAAAUGUUUGUACCCUUUGUAACCCUGUGGUGUUUACUUUCACGUGGCUUUUUCAAAAAUCACUUUAAUGAGCUCUGUCACCCUCUAUGAAUGAUAUAGGGGAAAUACUGAAUUGCUUCUAUUUCCUUUUUUGGCAAUAAAUCACCGUUGUAUAUAGAUGUGAGUGAAAGAGGGGUAGAGACUACGCAUAACAGUUUGUGUGUAGUGUAUGUUGACACCUCUAAGCUAUUUCGAAACAUGAGGCAAUAGACGAGGACCUCCGAUCCCCAGGGAAAUAUUUAUUUGACGGCACUGAGAGUGUAGCUCUUAGUAACAGAAUCUCCUUCUGCUGAGAAUUGUGGCUUUUCAGGAGGUUUUUAUUUUGAGAACUGUAUUUUCUCUGUGAGGUUUACAGAAACUAGUCGCUCCUUUUCACCACGUGGCAAGGACAGUCUGAGCCUUCGCUGUUUAGAUUUCAGUGUUAACACCUUCACGGAGGAGAAUGGAGUCUUCAGCUCCUCUCAACUGUUUAUAAAGUGAAUCCUGUUUCCAAGUCAUCUGCGGCUUUCGAAAUCCCUGUUUCUUAUUCUUCAUUCCAAACACCACAUCUUGACAGAGAGGCAUGGUAAGGAGUUCCUGUUGUCAAUCAACGGGAGGUGUUUAACACAUGGAAAAAGUCCUCUAUGUUACACUGGAACCAUGUAUAAAUGUACCUGUGUAUGUUGUUAACAAAUGAGCCUUUCUGCAUUUAAGUUAUAUUGUUUUUCCUUGUAUUAUUAAUGCAUCAGAACUGGAUUUUUUUUCCCCCCUCAUCUGAACAUAAUAUAAAAUUUGAACAGUAUUGUGAUAUCAAGCACUUUAGCAUACAUAUCAGAGAAACUGACGUGGGUUUUUCAGGUUUUGGAGUACAUUUAAAUAUGACUUUUCAUGCUUUGUUCUUUACAAAUAAAACUGUGGGAUUGA